GUAUGAGUGGGACAGUACACAAUAUAAAGAAGAUGAGGGAAGUAACGUCACAGAAACGUGCAUUGAAGGCGCUCAAAUAUCUGAGCCCCCAGUUACAGAAUUAAGGGCAGAUAUCAUGCACCUGAUGUAUAUUGAGGCUGGCGUCGGUGCGUUGCUGUUGUUGAUGAUGUUGCUGUACUUCCCAAGACGUCCCCCAUUGCCACCGAGUGCAUCUGCCGCCAUUGGGAGGGAAGGGUUUAUGCAGGGACUGAAAGACCUCAGAAA